AUUUUCGGAGUUAGCUCCAAAAGCCCAAAAAUUUGUUAUCACAUACGACUCGGGGGAAAAAGACAAAUCUUAAACUCUCUCUCAACAUUCACCAACUUUUCUUCUUGAUCUAGCCUCCCUCAUGUUAUCAGGUGCUUUUCGUCAUCCUCCACGGCCACCGAAGUUGAAUCUCCCGGCGUUAUUAUUCAAUGCUCGAGGAGACAAGAUGGUCACUUGUAGGUCGGUGAAUCUUUCUCCCCCUGUCAAGGCUGCAGGGAUUUUGUAGAAGCUUGUUUGUAUAAGUCGUAGGCAGCAUCACAAGGAGUUUAACUUCUGGAACGGGACUCCAUAUAAUUUGCAAGGAUAUCAUUGGGAUCCUGAUGAUCAGUCUUUGGACUAAACAGCUCACGAGGAUGAUUUCCAACAUCAGCAAGGGGAAGAGAUACGAUUUGGUGAUGUUUGAAUUUUUUUUGUUGGCAACUAGGAUGUCUACUUGUAUGAUGUUUGACUACUUUAUUAUUUUCAGUAUUUGUUUUACAGUCUAUGUAAUAUAUAUAUAUAUAUAUAUAUAUUGUUUUGAAUAAUUUUAUGUAGUUCUAAUUAUUUAUUGA